ACUUCGAUCUCCUUCAGUUCUCUUUCUCCUCCUUUUAUCCUACUUACUGCCUUGUUCUUCUCCGGUGGCUGUGUGAAAAAAAGUAUCAGGAGGAUCGAGCGCUGAUGGAGGGGAAUCCCAAAUUCACUAUUUUUUUUUCACCUAUGAUUAGUAAAAUGUGACAUUCUUUACAAAGCAUCAACGGAAAGACAACGAAAACACUAUCCAGUCUUCGUAAAUUACUGCACUCCAUUGUAAUUUAUGCGACCUUGUGAAAGAAGUACCAAAUUAAUAUUAUGCAGCCGUUUUGGAUAGUCUCAAUACUUUCCAUCUUGCCGGUCAAGGUGAAAUGAACGUCAUUAUGGGUGUCCCUCGGUUGAAAGAAAAUCUAAUGAGGGCUUCUGAGAAAAUCCAGACUCCUGUUAUGACCUGCCCCUCGCAGAAGGGGAAGACAAGGUAAGUAGACACUUUAUUCAACCAUUGCUUGCCUAUCAAUAGGUUUAGGUUUUGAACUUAGAAUCUGGAGUUUAUUUCUUAUAUCACUUAAUCACUAUCCGGAGCGACUGUAUAUUUCAUUUUUGUGCACUCUUAGAUGGCUAAACUCAUUAACCGUGUACGGGCCUCGUUCUAGGAUUUCUAAACAGCAGGUCACAAUUGUUUUUAAGCUGGAAAUCAAGGUCUUUGGACCUGAACAUUCCCCACCCUAUAUGAAUAUUACACUUGAUGAUUGUAUGCAGACCUUGGAUGUUUUAUUUUUAGGUGAGUUGAGACUCUAGGAAAAUCAUUUGAUCAUGGUAUCGGAAGUCAUUGGAAUUACAAAUAUGGGUAAGGAAUCUAAAGUUGUUAUUGAGGAAGAGAAAGAGGGAGAUAAGGAUGAUUGUUGUAAGCAAUAACAUAAUACAGGGGGAAAAACUUAUGACGAUGAAGGGGGUGGCAAUGAUAUCGAAGCAGAAGAUCUUGGUGUUGAUGUACAUAAAAGAAAAGAACAAGCUACAUAUGAGAUGGAUUAUGGUGAAGAUGGGAUGGAAUCGGAGACUUCAAUCAUUGAGAACGUAGAUGCUGAAGGCGAGGGUGAAACUGUUUUAGUUGGACUGGUAACAAAUUAUUAAGAGUAUUUUAGUUGGUCUGGUAACAACUUAGUAAGACUACUUUAGUUCGACUGACGACUCAUAACAUGAUCGCAUAAAAUUUUCUUCUGUAAAUUGUAAUACUUUUUUUACUUCACUUUCGCAAA